rnacentral:rRNA from 1 species
GACGAACGCUGGCGGCGUGCUUAACACAUGCAAGUCGAACGGAAAGGCCCUGCUUUUGUGGGGUGCUCGAGUGGCGAACGGGGGAGUAACACGUGAGUAACCUGCCCCUGACUGUGGGAUAACUUCAGGAAACUGGGGCUAAUACCGGGUAGGAGAUCUUGCUGCACGGGGGGGGUUGGAAAGUUUCGGCGGUGUGGGCUGGACUCGCGGCUUAUCAGCUUGUUGGUGGGGUAGUGGCUUACCAAGGCUUUGACGGGUAGCCGGCCUGAGAGGGUGACCGGCCACCUUGGGACUGAGGUACGCCGCAGUCUCCUACGUUCGGCAGCAGUCGGGAAUAUUGCACAAUGGGCGCACGCCUGAGGCGGCAACGCCGCGUUCGGGAUGCCGGCCUUCGGGUUGUAAACCGCUUUCGCCUGUGCCGAAGCGUGAGUGACGGUAAUGGGUAAAGAAGCACCGGCUAACUACGUG